UCUCAUAAAACAAUGCACCAAAUAUCUUCAAUUAUGUCGACAGCCUACAUUGGGUGAUUAUGAAGACACCAAUCAUUCCAGGCAUCUUGUAUGUUACCGAAAGAUACAAAGUUGUAAAUAUGUUAAAACAUUACAUUCUUCUUAAGCGGCAGGGG